rnacentral:rRNA from 1 species
UAAGGAAUAUUGGUCAAUGGAGGCAACUCUGAACCAGCCAUGACGCGUGAAGGAUUAAGGCCCUCUGGGUUGUAAACUUCUUUUAUAUGGGAAGAAAUGUACUUUUUCUAAAGUGCUUGACGGUACCAUAGGAAUAAGCACCGGCUAACUCCGUGCCAGCAGCCGCGGUAAUACGGAGGGUGCAAGCGUUAUCCGGAUUUACUGGGUUUAAAGGGUGCGUAGGCGGAUGAAUAAGUCAGUGGUGAAAUCUCCGAGCUUAACUCGGAAACUGCCGUUGAUACUAUUUGUCUUGAAUAUUGUGGAGGGAAGCGGAAUAUGUCAUGUAGCGGUGAAAUGCUUAGAUAUGACAUAGAACACCAAUUGCGAAGGCAGCGUGCUACACAAUCAGUGACGGUGAGGCACGACAGCGUGGGGAUCAAACA